rnacentral:rRNA from 1 species
GCCGGCAGCCAUAUCACCCUGCAACUCACAACUGGCAACCCACUGAAGCUAAGCAGGUGUGAGCCUGGUCAGUACCUGGAUGGGAGACCUCCUGGGGAAAAACUAAGGUUGCUGCUUGAA